GGGGGCCCCGCCGGCCUCCGCCGUGCGCCGCCCGCCUUCCUCCCCCAGCCCUUCUCCCUGAGGCCGAACGGAACAGCAAUAAAAACAUAAUCAGACUAACCCGAUUUUUAAAGUGAACUGCUUCAUGUUAUAUUUCACCUCAGUGGGCAGAACUAAACUGUCUUACAAAGGUAGGACAAAGAGUCACAGUCAUGUUGGAAGAGACCACAGGGAGACAUCUGGUCCGACCUCCCUGCUCAAGUAGGGGCAUCCCAGAGCACAUGGCACUGGAUUGUGUCCAGACAGUUCUUAAAUAUCUCCAGUGAGGGAGACUCUACACCUCUCUGGUCAACCUGCUCCACUUUUCUUCUAUGAAAUAUUAAAUUCUCUGUUAGAUUAA